CAGCACUAUUCAACAUUCACAUG
rnacentral:snRNA from 1 species